rnacentral:rRNA from 1 species
UACGAAGGGGGCUAGCGUUGUUCGGAAUUACUGGGCGUAAAGGGCGCGUAGGCGGUGCCUCAAGUCAGGCGUGAAAGCCCCGGGCUCAACCUGGGAACCGCGCUUGAGACUGGCACGCUAGAGUUCGGGAGAGGAUGGUGGAAUUCCCAGUGUAGAGGUGAAAUUCGUAGAUAUGAUGUAGAACACCGAUUGCGAAGGCAGCUCACUAAGCUGUAACUGACACUGAGGCACGAAAGCGUGGGUAACGAACAGG